rnacentral:rRNA from 1 species
UACAGAGGGGGCAAGCGUUAUUCGGAAUUAUUGGGCGUAAAGGGCGCGUAGGCGGCUUUUCAAGUGACGGGUGAAAUCCCUCGGCUUAACCGAGGAACUGCCUGUCAGACUGGAAGGCUUGAGACCGGGAGAGGUGAGUGGAAUUCCCAGUGUAGCGGUGAAAUGCGUAGAUAUUGGGAGGAACACCAGUGGCGAAGGCGGCUCACUGGACCGGAACUGACGCUGAGGCGCGAAAGCGUGGGGAGCAAAGCAGG